rnacentral:rRNA from 1 species
CCUUGCCAGCCCGCUCAGAAACUCAAAGGAAUUGACGGGGCCGCACAAGCGGAGGAGCAUGUGGUUUAAUUCGAUGAUACGCGAGGAACCUUACCUGGGCUCGAACGUAAGAUGACUGUAGGUGAAAGCUUACAUCUCUUCGGAGCAUUUUACGAGGUGCUGCAUGGUUGUCGUCAGCUCGUGCCGUGAGGUGUCGGGUUAAGUCCCAUAACGAGCGCAACCCCUACCUUUAGUUGCCAUCAGGUUAAGCUGGGGACUCUAAAGGAACUGCCUACGCAAGUAGUGAGGAAGGCGGGGAUGACGUCAAAUCAGCACGGCCCUUACGUCCAGGGCUACACACGUGCUACAAUGGCCGAUACAGAGGGCAGCUACCUGGUGACAGGAUGCAAAUCUCCAAAGUCGGUCUCAGUUCGGAUCGGAGUCUGCAACCCGACUCCGUGAAGUUGGAUUCGCUAGUAAUCGCGCAUCAGCCAUGGCGCGGUGAAUACGUUCCCGGGCCUU